rnacentral:rRNA from 1 species
CGGAGGGAUCAUUAAAGAGUUCUAUAACUCCCAAACCCAUGUGAACAUACCUAACGUUGCCUCGGCAGGUCGCACCUACCUUGUAGCACCCUACCCUGUAGGGCCUACCCGGGAGGUGCGGGUAAGCCUGCCGGCGGCCCACCAAACUCUGUUUGAUAUUGAAUUCUGAACCUAUAACUAAAUAAGUUAAAACUUUCAACAACGGAUCUCUUGGUUCUGGCAUCGAUGAAGAACGCAGCGAAAUGCGAUAAGUAAUGUGAAUUGCAGAAUUCAGUGAAUCAUCGAAUCUUUGAACGCAUAUUGCGCCCAUUAGUAUUCUAGUGGGCAGGACCGUUCGAGCGUCAUUUCAACCCUUAAGCCUUCGUUGCUUAGUGUUGGGAGCCUACGGCAACGUAGCUCCUCAAAGUUAGUGGCGGAGUUGGUUCACACUCUAGACGUAGUAAUUUUUUAUCUCGCCUAUUAGUUGGACUAAUCCCCUGCCGUAAAACCCCUAAUUUAUCAAGGUUGACCUCGAAUCGGUUCAGACAAACUCGCUAAAUUGAAGCAUCUUAGUCAGCGAAGGAAAAGAAACCAACAGGGAUUGCCCUAGUAACGGCGAGUGAAGCGGCAACAGCUCAAAUUUGAAAUCUGGCCCUCGGGUCCGAGUU